GCUGAAAGGCAAGAGUCCAAACUUUCCCGCGGCGACCUAACUGCACCUCCAGUGUCUUCCCCCAGAGGGCACAGAAGCAGCAAGAAGGGCGGGAACACUUGACUGGGGUCCAUGCAGCUCUAGGCUGAGUCUUGCAGGGCUGAGCCCCCCAGGCCUGCUCUCCUGUGUCCUGGCCGCUCCGUCAGUGCCUGCCAGUGGGGUCCAGAGGGACCGUUUUUUUAACGCCUCUUUUGCAGUGAGAUGCGCCUACUUCUCCCUGGAGAAGCUUGAGGAAGCAGAAAUGCUGGAGAUGAGCUGCUCCUCACUCUCACUCCUGGGUGUGCUGGGCAGUGGGGUGCAAUGUGCACGUAGGUGCACACUCUCCCUGGGCGGCAGCGAGCAGCAGAGGUCUGAUCUGUGGUCGGAUGACGAGAGGAAGUGCAAGUAAAGCAGCUGCAGCGAGACCUCGUCCGCACAGGGGCUUGUUCUUCUGUGUCUUUGCAGGGCUGUUUUGGACUCAGUAUUCACCUAAGCACUCCAAAUUACCCAGCACACCCUGCCUGCAUGGCGCUGCGCUGCACCUUCACUCUGGUCACGGGUCUGGCAGUCAGCUCACCAAUUCCUCCUGCUUCCCUGGGACUUGCCGGCUUUUAGCACUGCAAUUCACUCAGCAAACUGGGACUGUUGGUCACCCUACCUGGCAGCCAGUGAUAAGGUGAGGGCCACUCCUGGGAGGGAGGACACCUGUGGGGAAAAUUCUUGUGUUAUUUAUUUCUCCUUCGGGAUAGGGUGCCUGCAGCGCUUCAUGGGAGGGGGUGGGCUGAUGCUGCGGGCUCAGAAGUUUCAAGGGCAUCUGGGGAGACCAGAUAUUCAGAGACCUUCUAGAUGUGCCUGUUCCAUGUAUCAGGGACGCAGGUUUUCCCAACAGGGCUGGUGUCAUUGGCAUGACAGACCUGCCUUGGCUGAGCGUUCACCUGUCUUUGGAGUUCAGCCACCUUAGCAAGUCCUGGGUUUGUUCUUCAGACUUUGCUGCUCGCCCAUUGCCUGGAUCGGGGGCUACUUUGUAAACCACCAGGAAGACUCCAGUGUUUCUGGUUAAUUUUUAGAUGUUUGUUAAUUGCUCUUGGUCUCUCAUUAAUCCCCUGUGGGUCAUCCAGGAAACAUACUCACCACUGUCUGUUCUCUGAGUUUUCAUUUCCAGGCAUCCGCCCUGCCUGGAUCUCCUCACCUGCCAGGAACUUCCUCUCCACAAGCCGGCCAUCCCAGCAAAAGUUCUAACACCAAAGGUCUGGCAACUAGCCUGCCAUCUUGUGCCUGGAGCCGCCUGCGUGCCACCUACUCCCGAAGAUGGGAACCUUGUUGCCAGUUGGGCAGAUGCGGGGCAAUCCUGUACCAAGACCCCAUUUUACCACCUGCUUUCUCAGACCACUCUGGAACCCACUGUCUCAGAUUGUGUCCUCCAGGAAGCAGACCAUGAGAGGGAGUUGGCAGGGCCAAAGAUUUACUGGGGCUAACUAACACUCAGGAAAGGGAUAGGAAGGAAACAGGGCUGGAGAGCAGGUUGAGCCCGACCUGACAGUCUCGAGCAGCCCAACAGGGAGGUGUGGAGCAAGGGUUGCCCACUAGAGGGGCCUGCAUUGGGUACGGGUGAUGGGGUCCACAUGGUACCUGGCAUAUAGCAGGCUGUGCAAUCCAUAUUAACUGACUGGAUAAAUUAAUGCCCAGAAAAGGUGCCCUGGAGAAUGGGUGUGUGCUGAACACAAUAGGGAAGGGCCCAGCAUCUGCCUUGGCAUAGGCAGAACUGUGCUGUGCCCUGCAACAGGCCACCUGAGAGCUGCUUUGAUCUUGUGUGUACAUUAGAUGACUGCCAGGGGCAUGAAGGGGAUGUGCUUCCAGGGCAUUUGCUGGCAGGGCGUCUCGUGAUCUCUUGGUAUUGGUGUGAGCACAGCCUGGCAGGAGAGGGCAGAUCUCCAUGCAAAGUAUGUCAGAAAGCAGAUGGAAGCCAGGCCCCCUCCUGAAAGAGGCUCCUUGAAGGCUCCUGGGACCACAUUAUCAUUCUCUUCACUCGAGAGAUGAGGACACUGAAAUUCAGAGAGGGGAAGUGAUUUGCCUCAGCUUGUACUAAAGAAACAUUUCAACAGAGAACCCAGUGGAAAUUAUGACAUGUUAUCUUCUCAGAGUCCUGAACUCCCAUCCCUACCUCAGAAGAGACUCCUCUGUUCACAGAAGCUAAAGGCAGUUCCUUCCCAAUGGCAACUAUGUUUGGAUGUUGGAUCUACACUUUCUCAAGCACUGUGAUCUUCAAAUCAAAGGAGAUUUCUCCCAUUAUAUACUUCUUAUGAUCAACAAAUUCCAUCAUCUCCCCACUAAGAGAAAGUACUCCAAGAUGAUAGAAUGAUUUUAAAGUUAUGGGACUACAACAGCAGCCACAGGAACCUUGAACUGCCAUCCAGGGCCAUGCAGCAAACAAGCAACAGGGAAAUAUCCCACUAUGCAAUCCUAUUUUGAGAUGAUAUUUAGGAUGAGAGAACAUGCAUUAGUUACCUACCAGCUUGACAGGAAUGGAUUUCCAAAUCUGACACACCAUAGCCUGAAUUCUCACCAGUUUGCUCCUGGAAAGGCCCGCUCAUGCAUGAGCCCCUGCCACUCUUCUAAAUAAGCUUCCAGGCAUUACCUGCAUGCUGUGUUCCUGUGGUGGGAUGGCAGUAAUCUCUGCUAAGAUAAACGGGAGCUUCUGUGGAUAAAGCAUAAACGCAGUGAAGUGUGUGUGGCUGGAAGAUUUAAUGCCUCUACAGUGCUUAGAUACAAGUUGAGCUUGGAAUUCCAGAGGUAGAGCACUGCUGAUUGGAGACAUAUUAAGUAAAAUGUACUGUGGAAAUGAGAUAAAACCUUUAUUCUUGCUAAUGAUUGUCAUUGUAUGUAUUCAGGUGUCCAACAAAGGAUUUUAGAAUAAAGUGUGCCUUUAAAGUUUC
rnacentral:lncRNA from 1 species